GUAACGGUGUCUAUAGACACCACCUCUAUCUUAAAAAAAAAAAAUG
rfam:Picea glauca, whole genome shotgun sequence.